ensembl:lncRNA
GUCCGGCUCCAAGCCACAGCGACGUCACGCGCGCUUCGGGGAGGGCGUCAGUGCGCCGUCACGGGCUCUUAAACGCUGUGUGGCGUGUUUGACCGAGUGGAGAGAGUUUGAGAUCCCCACUUUGCAGAGCGCAUGUGGACUGCCAGCCUGUCCGGGACUGAGCGCACGAUGAAGACGAGCGACAGGAGGACAGUUUCCUUUUCUGAUCUGUAAGAUGAGAGCCCCGGCGCUGAGGCCGAAGAGUUCAGGAGGAUUUGUAAAGGGAAGAUUAACAGUUCACGAAGGAGAAAUGUCCACAACUGCAACUCCAACCAUCCCCUCCUUCCAGCUGACAUCUGAUCAACUCACAGUGGUCGCUGCGUCCUUUUCCUCUCUGGUGUUCUUCGUGGUUAUCGUGGUGCUGCUGUCCAUCAUCUACCGCAAGGAUCCUCAGUGCUGCAGACUGUUUUCCUAUCAGGGGCCACAUGCAGAUAUGGGUGCUCCCUCUCAGUACUACAGCAGCAGGCAGACGCUGGUGCCAUCUCCUUUUCUCGAGCAGACACAGAUCACUGAUGACAGCAGCACUCAGCAGGCAGGUCAGCUGUUCUACGUCGGCCUGCCCUCCAGCUACAGCCUGCCUGUGCUGGAAGGCCCCCUGCCGAGGCUCCCCUCCUAUGAGAGCGUCCGAAAGAAGGACCGCCAGAGGCAGAUCCACAUGAUGAUCGCAGACCGUUUUGGUCUCAAUGGACCCAUUGUGACUGAGCCUCCUCCAACAUACGAAGAGAGCAUCCGUCAGUCGGUGGAGCUGCCGUACGACAUCCUCUCAUCCAGCCUGGACGUCCCCUCUGCUCAGAGUUUCUACACCAACACUAGAGCCGUCGUUCAGACUGACACAGCGCCUCCAGCUAACUUUGAGGCCGCCGACAACACCGUCCUACCCAUGUGACGCCGAUCAAGCCAUCAAACUUUCUGGUGAAUGUGAAGCAGAAUUGCGAUAUUUAACGUAACGCAGAUGCAGUUACUAAAUCGACUGGAUCCUUAACACUUGUGUACAAGAUGAUUCUGAUACCUCAAAACUGACAGAGCUAAUGUUGAUCAUGAGCUGGAAGGCAACCAUACGAGGAGCCGCACACCCUGCAGGGAAGGACACGUUUGAAUGUUAAAAAUACUUUGUGACAUUUACUGUGCUCUACCGUGCCCGUGAGUUUGAAAACAGAAACACUGAAUACUCAUAAAACUAAGGUGGCUGGCACAUCUCGAACAGGAGAGGGCAGAACUGAAACAUACCAAAAAAAGGGAACGACUAUUUACUUUGUUGGUUACAGUGACGUGUAUUAAAUUCUGUUAAUGGACUUAUGUUUUCACAGUUAGCUCUUCUCAUUUAUUCUAAUGUCCCCGAACUGGAAACCUCAUUGUGUGGUUUUUAAAGAGGUCUGUUUGUUUAGUAGCUGCCGCAAAGCGGGCUUCUUUACCCCGCUGAGGCGAUGCAACGCUGCUCUAGCUUGAGAGGGAGAAUAAAAAAGGUGCUAAUGAGAGUGCCUUUCAUGGAAUCGAAACUAGACAUUCAUUACAAAACCUUUGUCUUUACCCCAUCUUUUGAUUUUUUUCUAUUUACACACCAGAUUUUAUGUCUUAAUGUUCUGUGCGUUAUUUUCUCUUACUUUCCAUGUGCACGAGUCGUAUGUUUGCCCUGCAUAUGUCUCGUACUGUAUUUAUUGAAGAAAGAUAACUGACAUCUUGUUAUUUCUCUGUGGAAACAAAUGUAAUAAAUACUUUUAUUGCUUUGUUCGUGAAUGUUUUUCAUUACACAGCCGCAGUUUAUGUAUGUGGACCACAUCCAAACCACUCACAGUGAGGUAAGAUUUUAUAUGCGCGUUUCUGAGUGCAUGUUGUUUUGAAAACAAAGGAC